UCGGACACGACUGAGAGACUGAACUGAACUGAUGGUGAAGGCGGAGGAGGGAGAGGAGAUGGGGUAAGAGAGGAUCAGGCACUUUAACUACAAAAGCUCACCUGGCCCGUGAGACACACUUUACAGAAAUGUUUCCAGAGAGCAUUCUGAUGCUCCACUUUUAAUUUUUUUUUUAACUAAUAAUGCAUUUGUUAACGUUGUUUCAUUUGAUGUUUGCUGAUCCUUGGUGGGCACCACACAGAGGCAAUCACCUUUUAAAGUUCUAAAUAAAACAACUGUCUUUUGGCAGGAAGGCCUCUGCUCUCUGUGCGCUCCACCCUCAUUUUGAUGGAAGAACAGAGUACUGCGGCCUCCAGGCGGCAGCUGGCACAAACAGCAACCAAACAGCAACCAAACAGCUCAGCUGGGUCCCAGAAACAGGACCCAGAUGGGAUCAGCGGCCCAGGUAGCCCAGCAUCCUGCAGACUGUGACCUUUCUGAUGGGUGCUUCCAACACUCCAGUCUUAUUCCAUUCUAUUAAUGGCCUUGUAUUUGGCAGUUUCCUUCCUAUGAGCUGUGGCUCAGUGUAUCCUGAGAGGGUCGGGGGAGUUGGGAGGGUGGGGACACAGGCUCAGAAGUGUAACCAACAAUGCUUGUUUCGAAACAGAGAUGGGGGCUUCCUUGGUGGUCCAUUGGCUAAGACUCCACGCUCCCAAUGCACGGGACCAGGUUCAAUGCCUGGUCAGGGAACUAGAUCCCGCAAGCCACAACUAAGGGUUCACAUGCUUCAAGUAAAGGAUCCCCUAUGCUGCAACGAAGAUCAAAGGUCCCUCAUGCCACAACUAAAACUCCAACGGCCAAAUAAAUAAAUAUUACCAAGAAAAAAAAAAGGGAUGACUCUGCAAGCCAGCAUCCUUGAUGGUCCUCUCAGAUCCAGCUGGCAAACAGUCACAUCCCUUGAGCCAGUUCUCAAGACAGUUCCUCAGAACUGCGUGGGCUCCCAGCAGAAGAGCUGGGGAGUGGCCUGUGGCGGUGGCCCUGGGAGAGAGGCAGGAGGCUCUGUGGAGCAGGUUUCAAGGCUAAUUCAUGUUGCAAAGACCUCCAUCACAGCCCAAAGCAAGAGGAAUAAACAUCUAUUUUAAGGAAUCUGGUGAAAUCUAAAAGGAUGAGUAUGGAGUGCAAGGAUAUGUAAUCCUCAGAGGACAGAGGGUCCCAGAGGCCAGUGGAGCCUUGUAACCAAGCACAGCAUGUGCCCACAGCAUGCCACGCUGUCCUUUCUGCAGCCUUGUAGGUUUCCACAUAGGCAGACAAAACUCAGACCCCACCCAGAGCCCUGUGGACCUUCGGGAGAUGUUGAAUGUUUAUGGAGGAUCCAGGCCUGCCAGCCGCCAGGCCAGUUCCUUCCAGAGGAACCAUCUGUGAUCUCCUGAGUGGAUGACAGGCCGAAGACAGAUGGGCUGUGGCCGGGCCGCCUCUGACCACAUGCCACCCCGCACAUCCUCCCCACCUGGGGCAGCCCCUCAGCCCCGGGGACCACCAGAGGAGCAGGCCAAGAGGCAGAGCAUCUGAGUCUGAGCCCUGGAGCUGAAGGCCAUUCUCUGAGUCACCACCUUUAAUGAGGAGGGAGGGGACGCAAAACCCACGCCAGCAGGGAGGGCGUUUGCUGGCUCCUUCCUGACUCUACGAGGUCAUCUAAGCAGGGAGCAGAGGGACACAGAACACCAGCAGCCCGGCUGCCAAGCACCGUACCGACAAGGGCUUGGUUCUGCUACCCCUCCACUUCACCUGGGCCUUUGACCUGCCGUAGCUUCUCCAGUUACGAAUGGAUCGUCGAGGUCUAGUGGUCAAAGGAGGGUUAAAGUUCUCAAUCUACAGAACUGAACCUCCACCCUGUCCAAGUACCCACUCCUGAUGACUGACCCUUAGAAAGCCUUCACCCUCUGCUCCGGCUGUAAACAGCCCCCUCUGUGAUGUGUGCAGGCACUCAGGUCUGUGCAAAUUCCCAAGCUCAAGUUUUCCUGGGUCCAGCUUCCCAAACUCCUGGAAGCUUUCAUGGAGAUAAAGGGGUCCACAGCUGCUUGAGGCUGUGUCUGUUCUAGGACGUGUCAGGGGAGCCCUGCUCCAAAGCCCCCCAAGAUUUAAGGUUCUAUUUCAGAGCCCAUGACAGCUAGAAUCAGCUCCAGCCUGUGCUUUCUAAAGACUCCGGACUGGUCUCAGGUCACAUCCCGGUCUCCUGAACCAUCUUCCUUUCAGAAAGAGACCUGGCCUCUCAGCGGAAGCUCUGGGGCUCCGCCCCAUACUCAGCCCUCUCCCUCGGCCUAUGCCUUGCCUGGCACAGACCAGGGACUCUUUGCUGACUGAUUGCAUGACAUAUGGGGUUGAUAGCCUCUUUUUAGUUUGAAAAGCCCCAGAUGCAAGGGCAACUGACUUCAAGCCUCUUUCAGGAAUCCGGGGUGAUGGGGCACCGUGUUCCCAGCACUCGCGAACCCCCAGGCUGACUCUGAAAUAACUGGUGAGACCUCGAGCUCAACCCUCACACAGACAACAUGGUUUAAAGAGCAGGCAGUUGACAUGAUAAUCGAUUCAAACAGACUGUAACCAGCUGUUCCCGGGAAAGAAGGACGCCAGGACGCAAAGUAUGAACAAGUAUUUUAAUAACUCAAGUCACUGUGCUCCCAGUUCUGAAGAGAUUCCUAAAAGAGGCAACUGCGGCCAUUCCGGAAGCCAGCGCUCACCAUCCCAUUGUCUCGGCAUCUCCCUCCUCUGGGUGCUGACUCGGAAGAAAGCAUAAACACGCCCGGUACCAUCCCGGCUCCCAUGGGACCUUCCUCUUAUCUAUGCGUUACAGCAACUGCCUUGGCUGGACUAAGAUGGUGACUCUGUUAAAGGAGAAGACAGAUGCUGACUGUCCAAGCAGGGACGGUCCAAGCUGGCAAGAAAAAGCGCGCUGCGUACAUAGGAUACAGAAGGGAGAGCGUCUGCCUGUGGGUCUACAACGUUUUACAUUGGCUUUCGGCUGCGAUCUAUCAAGAAGGGUUCUGCUGGCCAGUGUUUCUGCGGAACAAGCAACAUGGCAGUCAAGUCUUGGGCAUCCGGUGCCACCAGCCCCAGAGUCACCGAGCAUCGUCCACCGGAGAGUUCUCUGAGGGAAACAUGGAGUCCAGCUCAUGCCUCUGCCUAUGGGUCAAUUUCUUCGGGAAUCACGGUGACCAUAAUGUCUUCGUUGCCCCGGCGGACAACCAUAUUCAGGGUGCUUUCCUUCUUAAUGACGUCACUGACGUCGUUGGCGGAGACCACCGACUGUCCAUUGAUGCUGAUGAUGACAUCGUUUUCCUUGAGCCCCCCGCUGCAACACAAACAGAAACGUGACUGCAAUGUUCCCAUGUCUCCUGGCACAGCCACCAGGAAAGCCAGGUCUGUCCCGGAGACUCCUAACAAGUCCAUCUGAUUCCCUCCUGAAGAGGAUGUCUAGCCAGGAAGCACCCUUCUGCCGACAAGCCCUGAGCUGAGCCAGGUUGGAAGCCCUGCCCGGCAGGAUGGACACAGAUGUUGGACCAUUCUGUCAAGGGUCCUCAUGGUCACCUGAGGUGAGAUGGAAAGAACUGUCCCCUACCCGCUACCUCCAAGAAACACAUGAUUAUCAGGAAAAUGGAGAAGAAUUC